UACGUAGGGCGCAAGCGUUGUCCGGAAUUAUUGGGCGUAAAGAGCUCGUAGGCGGUUUGUCACGUCGGAUGUGAAAGCCCGGGGCUUAACCCCGGGUCUGCAUUCGAUACGGGCAGACUGGAGUGUGGUAGGGAGAUCGGAAUUCCUGGUGUAGCGGUGAAAUGCGCAGAUAUCAGGAGGAACACCGGUGGCGAAGGCGGAUCUCUGGGCCAUUACUGACGCUGAGGAGCGAAAGCGUGGGGAGCGAACAGG
rnacentral:rRNA from 1 species